UGAGGAUGGUCUCUGCCUGGCUGCCUCUUGUGCUGACAGGAAGAACAAAGAGAUGGCUGGCAGUGGAUCAAGAGGCUCUUGGUCAGGACGGUUGACUCUGCAGCCCCCUAAGCUGUUUGGGUAGCCUUCCUUUUGCCUGCUUGCGAAGCAUCUGCGGGUGGGAGAAGGUGCAGAUGAGGCCUUCCUGACAUCCUCAGUUGAAUUUGUGUUGGAAAGGAUCCUCUCCUAAAAGUCAACGUGCUUCUCACUGUUUGCAUCAUUCUCGUCUUUAGUCAUGGAUCAAAAUAGCUUUCUCCAUUGACUGGGGAGUUGCUUGUGUGCUGUUGUGAAUAGACCUGGGACUUGUGGAGUCAAAUGGAAGGAGGAGGAACCCAGUUGAGGCCAUACCAAGGCUGAAGCUCCACCUACAGCUCUGCACAGCACAGCUGGGCCAUACGGCUCAAAGUCUGAGGUUUCAUUGGCUGGGACAUGCAUCACACAGUGCUUCUGGCCUGAAGUCCUGCCUUCCAUGUGGCAAGUUCUGUCAUGUUAAAAGCUGCACCUUUUGGCAUUCUUGGAAUUCUUCCAGCAUCCUGGGGAGGAAGUAUGCAGACCGAAGAACACAGGAAGCUGCCUUAUACCGAGUUGGACCGUUGGCCCAUCUGGCUCAGUAUUGUCUGCCCUGAGUGACGGCGGCAUUCCAAGGUUGCAGGCAGGAGUCUCUCCCAGCCCUACCUGUUGGACUCUCUGCAUGCAAAGGAGAUAAUGCUCCACCACUGAGCUGUGGGCUCAUUUCCGCCCCCACAUCGGAAUAUCUUGCAGCAGACGGUGCUUGCGUGUCGUUGCCUAUCCAAAUGCAAACCCAGGUGAAUCCUGCUUAACAAAGGGAAAAAUUCAUGCUUGCUAUUGCCAGACUGGCUCUCCACCACAGAGAAGAUACAGGAGAAUUCACAGAGGUCCUGAAGGAGGGAAUGCCGGCUUAGCUCCUGUUCUGUGGCUCCUAGACGCAUGCUCCUCCACUGACUUCCGAUUUUUUCAUGCCUAUACCUUUGUACCAUCUCAGUAGCCAUCUCUGCAUUCUACAGAUGCUACCAGUGUUAGCACUGGAAGCUGAAUUCCUUCCUGUUACAACACUUCUGGACAUUACUUGAAGCAAGCUGGAACCCAGAAUCACUAGACAGUGUCAAAGGCAAACAAUA